rnacentral:rRNA from 1 species
GACGAACGCUGGCGGCGUGCUUAACACAUGCAAGUCGAACGGAAAGGCCCUGCUUGCCGGGUACUCGAGUGGCGAACGGGUGAGUAACGCGUGGGUGAUCUGCCCUGCACUUCGGGAUAAGCCUGGGAAACUGGGUCUAAUACCGGAUAGGAGCCAUUUUUAGUGUGAUGGUUGGAAAGUUUUUUCGGUGUAGGAUGAGCUCGCGGCCUAUCAGCUUGUUGGUGGGGUAAUGGCCUACCAAGGCGGCGACGGGUAGCCGGCCUGAGAGGGUGGACGGCCACAUUGGGACUGAGAUACGGCCCAGACUCCUACGGGAGGCAGCAGUGGGGAAUAUUGCACAAUGGGCGCAAGCCUGAUGCAGCGACGCCGCGUGGGGGAUGACGGCCUUCGGGUUGUAAACUCCUUUCGCUAGGGACGAAGCUUUUUGUGACGGUACCUAGAUAAGAAGCACCGGCUAACUACGUG